UAUUUUCAAAGGGUGCGGUCGGGUUUUUUUUGCCUAAAAUAUACACUAAUUUUUUUUCAAGGGGUGCGGCCGCCUACCCUGGUCAAAGGCUAGGUCCGCCCAUGGUUGUUGCUAUCGUCCGCUAUUCGCUAUUGACAACGAUUAUGAAAUUACUUUCAGAGUCCCCUUUAAGACAAGUGAUAGAUUUGUUAACAUAUUUGUUUCCAUAGAGUAGUUUCAUGUACUCAUUUGUUUGACAUAUCUUGGAAUUUUGAUAGUUUUUAAGAUCUAUGAUUCUGUUACAACUGAUUUGUGAAGUAUUUGACACAUAAUCUGGUGAUAUGUGGAUAUUUUUUGGGUCUUUUUCAUAUCGAUUUGCAUGUAGUCAAAGUCUUCUAUAGCUUUAUAUGCUCUUUUUGUUUCUGUUAAAUUCGGAGACCAGGAGUGAUACACGGUUAAGAAUGUGAUUUCUUUUUAGACUAGCAUCACUUUGAGAUCUUCUCUUGAGAUGUUUUAGCAUUAAGAAGACGAGUGGGUGCGUUUGGAACACGGAAUUACAUUUUUGCAUGAUUUGGUAUAGUCGCAUCGAGUUUUCUUGUUUUUUCUUUGAAGAUAUCUUUACCUUUAGUGCGAAAAGGUUUUUAGUGCAUUGUUUUAUAAUGCUAGUAAAUGUUAAGUUUCAUACCAGGCAUAGUUAUUAAAGGCGUUAGGCGCACUCAAGGCGCAUAGGCCUCGCCUGGGGCCUAGGCGCAAGGCGCAAAAAAAGCGUGG
rnacentral:lncRNA from 1 species